CUUGGGAGGAAUCAAUGCUGCCAUUUCUGCUUCUGUUUCAGAUGCUAAGAAGUUUUUGGUUUGAGGAUGGUAUCAAGAAGAUGUGGAGAAGCAGAGGAUUCUGAUCAAUCCAUGAACAAUUGCAGAUUUGUACCUUGUUCAGGAGACGUGCCUAGGCCCUGAAAAGGAAUGAUCAUUCUAAUGAGAAAAUUUGGCAAUGCCUGGCUAAGAUUCAUGGUGGAACCAUUGGAGGCCUUUAAGUAAUGUUGUAACCAUACUUCCAAUUUAGAAAGAUUUCACCAGAUAGGAUGGAGAAACAAUUGAUGCUGAAAGAAAGAUACUAUGAUAAAAUUUGAUUCAUGCAACCAAUCUUUAUCAGUGACCUCUUUUAUGCCAGACACUAUACCAAGCUGGAGUCUGGGAAUGCAGAAACGAAUAUACAGUCUAUUCCUCAUGACAAUUGCAAACCAGACCAAGAAAACGGUAAGGUCCUGGACCAAGAUUGUCCUCUACCCAACUUUGCUGUCCAUUGGAAAAAUAAUAUCCUUUUUCUCUCUUGAGGAAAGAUGGCUUCACCUUGCAGACUCUUGCAAAAAAUUAGUCUGA
rnacentral:lncRNA from 1 species